CAGCCGCCACGGUAAUACGUAGGCAGCGAGCGUUGUUCGGAAUUACUGGGCGUAAAGAGUGUGUAGGCGGUGCUCUAAGUUCGGUGUGAAAUCUCCUGGCUUAACUGGGAGGGUGCGCCGGAAACUGGAGUGCUCGAGCGUGGGAGAGGAAAGCGGAAUUCCUGGUGUAGCGGUGAAAUGCGUAGAUAUCAGGAGGAACACCUGUGGUGUAGACGGCUUUCUGGACCAUUGCUGACGCUGAGACACGAAAGCGUGGGUAGCAAACAGGAUUAGAUACCCCCGUAGUCCCUGUCUCUUAUAC
rnacentral:rRNA from 1 species